AUUAUAAUGUUAAAUAUCUGGUGAUUAUGGCUUGAAGGUAACACCCGUUCCCAUGCCGAACACGAAGGUUAAGCUUCAAAGCGCUGAUGGUACUGCAGGGGAAGCCCUGUGGAAGAGUAAGUCGUUGCCAGAUAUAAAUAUUCCGCGGUAGCUCAAUGGUGGAGCACUCGGCUGUUAACCGAUAGGUUGAAGGU
rnacentral:rRNA from 1 species